rnacentral:rRNA from 1 species
UAGGGAAUCUUCCACAAUGGACGCAAGUCUGAUGGAGCAACGCCGCGUGAGUGAAGAAGGUCUUCGGAUCGUAAAACUCUGUUGUUAGAGAAGAACACGAGUGAGAGUAACUGUUCAUACGUUGACGGUAUUUAACCAGAAAGUCACGGCUAACUACGUGUCAG